rnacentral:rRNA from 1 species
GGGGUGAGUAACACGUGGGCAACCUGCCCCAAAGCGGGGGAUAACAUUUGGAAACAGGUGCUAAUACCGCAUAACUUGGAAAACCACAUGGUUUUCCAAUAAAAGAUGGUUUCGGCUAUCACUUUGGGAUGGGCCCGCGGUGCAUUAGCUAGUUGGUAAGGUAACGGCUUACCAAGGCGAUGAUGCAUAGCCGAGUUGAGAGACUGAUCGGCCACAAUGGAAUUGAGACACGGUCCAUACUCCUACGGGAGGCAGCAGUAGGGAAUCUUCCACAAUGGGCGCAAGCCUGAUGGAGCAACACCGCGUGAGUGAAGAAGGGUUUCGGCUCGUAAAACUCUGUUGUUGGAGAAGAACGUGCGUAAGAGUAACUGUUUACGCAGUGACGGUAUCCAACCAGAAAGUCACGGCUAACUACGUGCCAGCAGCCGCGGUAAUACGUAGGUGGCAAGCGUUAUCCGGAUUUAUUGGGCGUAAAGCGAGCGCAGGCGGUUGCUUAGGUCUGAUGUGAAAGCCUUCGGCUUAACCGAAGAAGUGCAUCGGAAACCGGGCGACUUGAGUGCAGAAGAGGACAGUGGAACUCCAUGUGUAGCGGUGGAAUGCGUAGAUAUAUGGAAGAACACCAGUGGCGAAGGCGGCUGUCUGGUCUGCAACUGACGCUGAGGCUCGAAAGCAUGGGUAGCGAACAGGAUUAGAUACCCUGGUAGUCCAUGCCGUAAACGAUGAGUGCUAGGUGUUGGAGGGUUUCCGCCCUUCAGUGCCGAAGCUAACGCAUUAAGCACUCCGCCUGGGGAGUACGACCGCAAGGUUGAAACUCAAAGGAAUUGACGGGGGCCCGCACAAGCGGUGGAGCAUGUGGUUUAAUUCGAACCAACGCGAAGAACCUUACCAGGUCUUGACAUCCUUCUGACUGCACCUUAAUCGGUGCUUUCCUUCGGGACAGAAGAGACAGGUGGUGCAUGGUUGUCGUCAGCUCGUGUCGUGAGAUGUUGGGUUAAGUCCCGCAACGAGCGCAACCCCUAUCUUCAGUAGCCAGCAGGUAAGGCUGGGCGCUCUGGAGAGACUGCCAGGGAUAACCUGGAGGAAGGUGGGGACGACGUCAAAUCAUCAUGCCCCUUAUGAUCUGGGCGACACACGUGCUACAAUGGCGGUCACAGAGUGAGGCGAACCCGCGAGGGGGAGCAAACCACAAAAAGGCCGUCCCAGUUCGGACUGUAGUCUGCAACCCGACUACACGAAGCCGGAAUCGCUAGUAAUCGCGAAUCAGAAUGUCGCGGUGAAUACGUUCCCGGGUCUUGUACACACCGCCCGUCACACCAUGGGAGUCGGAAAUGCCCGAAGCCAGUGACCCAACCUUUUGGAGGGAGCUGUCGAAGGUGGAGCCGGUAACUGGGGUGAAGUCGAAACAAGGUA